rnacentral:rRNA from 1 species
UACGGGGGGGGUAAGCGUUGUUCGGAAUUACUGGGCGUAAAGGGCUCGUAGGCGGCCAACUAAGUCAGACGUGAAAUCCCUCAGCUUAACUGGGGAACUGCGUCUGAUACUGGAUGGCUUGGAUCCGGGAGAGGGAUGCGGAAUUCCAGGUGUAGCGGUGAAAUGCGCAGAUAUCAGGAGGAACACCGAUGGCGAAGGCAGGUCUCUGGGCAUUAACUGACGCUGAGGAGCGAAAGCAUGGGGAGCGAACAGG